CCCUAAACACUACCUGCAACAAAAUAAUAACAAAUAUCACCGAUCCCUGUAGUAAAUGUCCCGAAUAUGAUCGACUAGACCAAACCUGUUGCUCCUUUUUGCUUAAGGUUUGCCUCAAUUCUUCCAGCAUAUUACCAUGCCCGCAAAACUCCCAAUAAGCAAUACUUUUCUCCCCAGCUUAUCCAUCAAAACCACUGCUACAGUAGAACCUGUACAACAGCAUGAAUGGUCAUCAUUUCACUUGACAGUUUCUACAUGUUGAAAGGGAGACUUUUGAAUCUCUUCUUUUCAUGAUCACCUUUGUGAUAAGAGGAAGGUAAGUCAUUUACCAUUCAUAAUUUCUAAUUUACAUAAUUAACCUCAACCACCUCAUCUACUGACACGAAGGGAAAAUGUUACACUUUAAUACCUAAGAGGUUGCAUACUCCCACACAAAUGUUGGCGGAGGCUGAAGGUACACCAGCUUUCUUGAAGACAGUUGAUGAGAAAUAGAACACAGCGUUUAUCCCAGACAACUGUUGUAAAGCAAAAAGGGUAGAUCCAAUGAAAACCACUGCAAACGGAGAAAAAUUAAAACGUAAAAUGAAUGAAGUUAGAGGCUUCACAUGUCAUUCAUAUGUUUUUUUUUGCAAAUGACAAUGACUCUUCUUUUUGUCUAGGGAUCCAGUUGAACAAGCUAACGUACUCUCCGCCUAGAUGAAUCAACUCUAUGACGAUCAGUUCUAACCCCACAACCGGAAUAUUUGAGAUAAAAAUGCCAAAAGUUAUGAAAAUCUUGUUGGUUUGAAGAUCAAACAUACCUCUAAAACUGCGCCCAAAAAGCAAUUCCGACAAUUUGGCCGAAUCGCCAUCAUCUCCCCUAUCUGACUUCACUAACUCUGCCAUGGCAGCCUUGACGUAUGCCCCUCCCAGUAACUUCUCAAACACGACUUCAGCUUCAGCUGCCCUUCCUCUCUGAGAAUGUAAAACAGGGAAAGUGAAUCAACAAAUCAAUUGUUUAUGAAAAUGUCUUUAGGAGCUAUGAUGUUUUUAAAUGAGAAAAAGUCACCUUGAAAAGCCACUGAGGACUUUCGGCGCAGAGUUGCAUGAAAACAGCAAGGACUACAGCUGGGACUGUGGAUAUCCAAAAACAUAUACGCCACCUUAGACAAUCAAAGUACAUGAAACCUAUUAGCUGAUCAUUCUGCCGAGAUGUCCAGACGGUAGUCUUGUCAAUAAUGACCAAAGCAUGUGCCCUAAACUUCGCCGGCACAAACCAGUUCUAGGGUUUAAGUUUACAGCAUUGUAAUAGGUCAUUGAGGCCAUUGUUUUUCCCCUAAGUCCUUGUCAAUAUCUUACCAGCCCAAGUUGUCUUUUGCUGGGAUUCCAGCAAAUAGUGAAGCUAAGAGCCCAAGACAAGUCGCAAUUUGGGUAGAGCUGCCAUAUGUGCCUCUCACAUAAGCAGGUGACACCUGCAAAGUGGAAAUGUGAGCCUCGCUCUAAAUAAGAUUGUAUGGAUAACGCAAUUCAGUGAAAGUUAUGCGCCUAGAGAACCUUCUGCUUACGUUAGGUAAAUCCACUAAUGCGAAUAAAGCUUUCAAAAUAGAAGCUUUAAGUAAAAUGAAUUUUAAGUGUACCAAUGAACUUCUACGUGCUAAUGGUCUAGUUCACUACUUACAUUGCCCCCAAUCAGCUUUUGAUAAAAUAAUAAAAUAAAUUGGGGUUGAAUCCCAUCUGUAGAAGAAAUUUUGUUAUUGUUGUAAACAUGUUGAUGUAAAGGAUGAAAUCUAAAACUAGCCACUGAAUUGUACAUCAAAUUAUUCACAUCACCAGUCUGUGGGGAUGCAAUUUCAUGUAGCGAUCAUAGAAAAACAAGUGCAGGAACAAAGUACCUCAGUGACAUAGAGAGCUGUAACAGAAGGACCUAUGCCCAUUCCAAUUCCGACAAAAAACCUUCCCAGGAGCAUGCCCUCAAGACUCUCAGUUGUUGCACUGCAAACAAUACAUUUGUAAGCACACAGAUCUCGUUAUUUUUAAAGAGGCACCUCACAAUACGAGAAAACCCACCAAGGCGAGGACUAGAGGGAAAAUAUGUUAAAAGGAAUAACCAAUUGCUCAUAAUAAAUUGUCGACACCCACUCAGAAAGUCACAGUGAGAAUAAAUGUAACCCUGAUUGCAUAAUGACUAGUCUAGACAAAAAUUUGAAUCCGAAAUGUUCAAAUAAGUUGACACAUACAUGUUCAAAUCUGUAAGAGUAGGUUUCAACUUGUAAGCGAAAACAUUCAUCAUGCAUAAUCAACAGCCUAAACAAAAAAAAAGGUUAAGCAGAAGAGAAAAAAAAGGAUAACCUCACAGAAGCUCCGAUAAUCAUUGGUAAAGCGCUCAACUGGAAAGCUCUACGGCGGCCAACACCAUCCGCGACCAACCCACUGAACAGAGAUCCAAUAAAGGCGCCACCUAAGCACGUACUAACAACAAGACCUUCAUCCACCAGAAUUAAAAAAAAAAGAAUGAUCAGACACAAGGAUAGACACGAUGACUGAAGAAAGAAACAGAAACAUAAAAAGCUAUAUAUACCUUCGGCGAUGGUGUUGCCACUAAAGCCAAGGUCAAUUGAAAUGCUUUCGAGAGUUUCAUUAACAACCCUACGUCCACAAAAGAAAGCAUGAGUCUAUACUAAGAGUUUCUUCCCAGUUUACAUACAAUUAAAAGAAACAGAGUCUACAUAAUGAGUAACAUGGACAAAGAGAAGGCAAUUCAAAGUCUAAUAUUGGCACGCACCCAAGGUGAUAGCCGAAUAAAAGGGAGGUGAGAGAAGCAACGAAUACGUGAGGCAGAGAUCGCUUCCAUGAAGGAUUCCCGAUAUCUUUUCCCGUCCCAGUCACUGGAAAUUCACAGUCACAGUUAUAUAGGAUUACAAUGUUAGGUCUAGGGCACAAAACACAGAGCAGAGAUCCAUAGGCAAAUGGCAAAAGUUAAAGAAGUUCAUGAGUCCAAGCAAGGAAAGGUUAUAGCUCGGACGCUUUCUUGUUUUUUAUUUACUUUGACAUCAGUUUCUAGCUUUUAUCUUCACUUACAGAGUCAUAAUACCAAAUCCGAUUUUUAUUAUUAUUGUUUAAACUAAACAUCUUAAUUAACUAUUGACACGUCGGAACAUGACAUGGGUUCUUUCUAAUGACUCUGGGUUUUUUUCCAUUCCGGGCAACAUUUUCAAAAGGAAUUGGUGAUUAAAAAAAGGAACCUGCUGCAGUUUCAGCUUUAUCGAGAACAGAGAGUAACUCUCUGGAAGGAACACGUUUCUCAAUGUGACGACCUCGCAUCAUCGUGUACGUGCGUCUAACAGAAUCCAUCCCCCACUGCACAUGAAAAUUUUGAAGUUUCAGCAGUUGCACAUACGUACAAAAACGCGCAAUUUAGCUAAAUUAAACCUUCCGGUGCUACUUAAGUGUCCGUAUGAACACAAUCAAUUAGAAAUUAGAAAAAAAAGUGAAAGCACACGUAACGUGACGUUAGCUAGUAGGAAAGUUCCAGAAUCAACAUGAGAAAGUGAGAUCGUCGGAUCUGACAGCAAAAAAGUUUACCCAGCAUUGAUCCGCAAUGUAGAUCAGAAACAAAAAGUUACAAUAGAAAAAAAAAAGGCAAUGGCAAGAUCUAGAGCAUUAAGGAGGAAAAUAAAAAGCGAGAAACGAUGAUUAUAGUACCUGCAGGCAGACGAGAAAUGAUCAAAAGGAAUCGUUGAGUCGAAGAAAUAAGUUUUUUCUUUCCUUUUUAUUUGUUUUUGAAGUUUGGAACUUAAUCAUUCCUCCUCCUACGCAACACUUUAUAUAACAUAUAUGCUAUAUGCUUUGGUCACCACCCAGAUGCGCUUCACUCUUCUCCCGAGAGAGACGAUAAUACGACGUGUUUUAAUCACCUGCUUCGCCUCCACCGACCUCAUCUAUGCCCCACUAAGUAAAAUCAAUAGUGUAACUAACUUCUGAGGGCCUCCAUGCAAAAGUACAGAGGCCUCUUGGGCCUUUCUUUAUUUAUCACCAGGCCUCUUAGGCGCUUCUAUCAUCUUUUCCUGAUUGCGACAUCUCUCAGCUUAUUAAGCUUCUUUCGAAUCAUAGUUUUUUGAGCUUCAUCCGAGUCAAGCUCUUGUUAAUUGAUGAUAUACUAUGGUUCUUUAACGAAGCCACUAAAUGAAUCGAGUCAACUCUCUCUCAAAGAACGAGGCACUUUUACAUUGUCUCCAAAUAAUUACGAAUAAACACAGUAACAAAAAUCUUUAGUUCGAGCAGUAAUACUUUGUUUUACAAACCCUUUUCUGAGAAGAAAAAAGAAAGAAAAAAAAAUAAAAGCAAUGUAGGGCCUUUGGUCGGUGGUAUAGCCAAUAGGAGGAAACAAGGAUGAUGGUCCUACACAUGAGCCUGAGCCUGUCAACACUUUGUUGCUUUCUCAUUGGAUCUGUUAAAAAAUGCACAAACCCCUUCAGACCAUGAGAGCCUGUCAAACAAUUUGACUAAACUUUGGUGUAUGUUUGACUUACCUUGUUCACCAGCAUGUUCACUUGCUCCUUGUACAUUUCCUUCAAGUCCACUAUAUCCGCUCGAAGUUCCUCCAACUACCACCAAACCCACAUUUUUAUCAUUAUUACGCCUACCACUGUUAUUGCUGGCUACAAGUAAUUUAUUCACAUCUCUUACCUCCUCAUCUCGUUCACCCAUCAAUUCCAGAGCAGCCGCAUGCCUUUGUCUUAGUGCUUCCAGCUCUGCUUUUAUGCCCGGCACCCUAUCCGCCUCCCCUCUUAAUUUCUCACACUACAUCCACAGUGACCAAAAUAUUAGACGUCACAUCCUUAAUAAAACAACUCUGAAACUCUCAUAUAGGUACCUCUGCGGUCAUUUUGACUAGUUCUUCAGCUAGGGAAUCUCGGAUAGACUCCAUUGACGCCUGUUGCAGGACAAUAUUCCACCAGAGUAGGUUAAAAUUUUACAGUUAGAUUCUAAAUUAGGGGAUGAUAGAUACUAAGAACAAGCCUAUACAAUUAGAGCUAAACAAUCUAAACCAGCUUAUAAAACAACGGUAAUUUCCCAGCAUCCAUAGUGCGCCAUUUUAACCUAUCCAAGGUGGGUUCUGAGAUUACGGUGGGGUCUGAGAUUACAAACUGAUGUGAACCUAAUUCCCAUUUCAACGCCAGUUUCCAAAAGCCUACCAAUGGAGCUACACAGAAAUGAACAAGUUGUAUACUUUUUACACCUACCAAGCGGGACAUGUAAGAAGCAAGUUCACCCUCUUUCUGUCGAAGUGUGGCUUCAUAAGCACUCGGUGUGAUGCUCUUCAUGUAGUAUGGACUCAUAGUUGCUUCAGGCAUGCUUCUCUUCUCAGAAGAUUUAUCUGACGAAUCAAGCGAAGCUUGCAGAAAAUAGCUCUCCUCCAUGCUGCCAAGGCUGCUUGCGCUUGAGAGCUUUCUUUGCAAGCCUCCUGAUGACACAGUUUAAAAUUUCACAGAUGCGCAAGGCCUGUAUUACUGAAUAUUAAACCAUAUUGAGAUGCAUCAUACCAUUCUCAUAGGUAGAAUUUUGCCUUGAUAUGGGAAGCUGUUCAGAGGCUGUCGAGGUAUUGAUACGGGCAGUUCUUUCAAGAUCCAAACGGGUAGCCUUCUCCCUUUCUAGGUCCUGAAAAUUUUUUCGCGAUGUAAAGAAAAUUCAUCGGGGUUUUUUUUAACUAAUCAAAGUAGUGUCUGAAAAACUAUGUAUCACCUUUUGAAUAAGCUCGUUGUGGAGCAGCACUUCUUGCAACUCUUGCUUAUGUUUUCUCCGCAGUUCCAUGAUUUCCACUUCAAGUUGGUUUGCUCGACCGCCUAAGGUAUCUGCUUCUUCCUUAGCUGCCAGAUACUCCUGUCUAUUCUCUGCCGCUCUUUGCCUCUCCUUCUCGAGCGACUUACUUAACUGGCCUUGUUCUGCUCUAAGACAUGAAAGCUGGAUAGGAGAACCGGGUAAGCUAGAAUUUAGAAAAAAAGACGUGACACUGAUGAAGAACAGUGUCAAGGAUCAUAGAAAACCUGAGCCUCAAGAACAUUGAUCCUUGAUAAGGUUUGAGAGAGGCGUUCAUUCACAGAGCGCUCUCGCUCUUCAGCUGUGGCAGCUUUAGUUUCUGCUUCCUGAAUAUUCGUAGAAAUUGAACAAAACGAUAAGAGACAUAGAAAUAAAUAGUUGAAUAUGAGGGUUAUCGCAGUGAUGUUCAAAACACCUGCAGUCGGGCAUUCAAAGUUCUCUCUACAGCACCCCAAGCUUCUGCUCUUCUGGCAGUAGUUUCCUAUAGUCAAUCAGAUAAGAAGCAUGUAAUGUUACAUAUUUUAUUUUAAAGUUUCUAAUCUCAGAAAACCUUCUCCAAAAAACCCCAGAAGGAUCAGCUACUACCUGCAUUGCCUCAAUCUGUCUUAGGAGAGGCCUUGUAGACUCCGGAACUUGGGUGAUUAAUUCCUCACACCUUCGUUCACUAGCCUACAGGAAAAUUAAGUUUAGAAAGCGUAAACAAAACGAGCUAUUAUUUCAUCCCAAAACGUCUUGAUUUACCUGAUAACGUCUUUGAAGGUCUUCAAGUUCUCUGCGGAACAUGUCUUCCCUAAACACUACCUGCAACAAAAUAAUAACAAAUAUCACCGAAUGUGAUCCCGUUAGUAAAUGUCCCGAAUUUGAUCAAACCUGUUGCUCCUUUUUGCUUAAGGUUUGCCUCAAUUCUUCCAGCGCCUGUACUAGCAUAGAUUCCCGCUCUCCGGCCUCCUUUAGACGAUUCUCUAACUCUAUUCUCGCCUCAUUGUUGGUACGCUCCUCCGCUAAUGCUUGAGCUUCCUUUGCUGCAGCUAAUGCAUUCGAG
rnacentral:lncRNA from 1 species